GAAUGAGGACGAAGAAUUGAAGAAAUCAGGCGUCCACCUGGAGAAAGAGGAUGAAAAAUUGAAGAAAUCAGGCGUCCACCUGGAGAAUGAGGAUGAAGAAUUAAAAAGAAGUCAGGCGUCCACCUGGAGAAUGAGGAUGAGAAUUUAAGAAGAAAUCAGGCGUCCACCUGGAGAAUGAGGAUGAAGAAUUAAAAAGAAGUCAGGCGUCCACCUGGAGAAUGAGGAUGAGAAUUUAAGAAGAAGUCAGGCGUCCACCUGGAGAAUGAGGAUGAAGAAUUAAGAAGAAGUCAGGCGUCCACCUGGAGAAUGAGGAUGAGAAUUGAAGAAGUCAGGCGUCCACCUGGAGAAUAAGGACAAAGAAAAGAAGCAGUCAGGCGCCCACCUGGAGAACAAGGGAAUAUAAUUGAAGUAGCAGAAAUCAGGCGCCCACCUGGAGAACAAGGGAAUACAAUUGA
rnacentral:lncRNA from 1 species